rnacentral:rRNA from 1 species
GACGAACGCUGGCGGCAUGCCUAAUACAUGCAAGUCGAGCGAACGGAUGAAGUGCUUGCACUUCUGACGUUAGCGGCGAACGGGUGAGUAACACGUAAGGAAUCUACCUAUAAGCGGGGGAUAACAUUCGGAAACGGGUGCUAAUACCGCAUAAUAUCUUCUUCCGCAUGGAAGAAGAUUGAAAGACGGCUCUGCUGUCACUUAUAGAUGACCUUGCGGUGCAUUAGUUAGUUGGUGGGGUAAUGGCCUACCAAGACGAUGAUGCAUAGCCGACCUGAGAGGUUGAUCGGCCACAUUGGGACUGAGACACGGCCCAAACUCCUACGGGAGGCAGCAGUAGGGAAUCUUCCGCAAUGGGCGAAAGCCUGACGGAGCAAUGCCGCGUGAGUGAAGAAGGCCUUCGGGUCGUAAAACUCUGUUAUAAGAGAAGAACAAAUUGUAGAGUAACUGCUACAGUCUUGACGGUAUCUUAUCAGAAAGCCACGGCUAACUACGUGCCAGCAGCCGCAGUAA